GACGAACGCUGGCGGCAUGCCUAAUACAUGCAAGUCGAGCGAACAGAUGAAGUGCUUGCACUUCUGACGUUAGCGGCGAACGGGUGAGUAACACGUAAGGAAUCUACCUAUAAGCGGGGGAUAACAUUCGGAAACGGGUGCUAAUACCGCAUAAUAUCUUCUUCCGCAUGGAAGGAGAUUGAAAGACGGCUCUGCUGUCACUUAUAGAUGACCUUGCGGUGCAUUAGUUAGUUGGUGGGGUAAUGGCCUACCAAGACAAUGAUGCAUAGCCGACCUGGGAGGGUGAUCGGCCACAUUGGGACUGAGACACGGCCCAAACUCCUACGGGAGGCAGCAGUAGAGAAUCUUCCGCAAUGGGCGAAAGCCUGACGGAGCAAUGCCGCGUGAGUGAAGAAGGCCUUCGGGUCGUAAAACUCUGUUAUAAGAGAAGAACAAAUUGUAGAGUAACUGCUACAGUCUUGACGGUAUCUUAUCAGAAAGCCACGGCUAACUACGUGCCAGCCGCCGCGGUAA
rnacentral:rRNA from 1 species